GAUGAAGAACGCAGCGAAAUGCGAUAAGUAGUGUGAAUUGCAGAAUUCAGUGAAUCAUCGAAUCUUUGAACGCACAUUGCGCCCCUUGGUAUUCCAUGGGGCAUGCCUGUUCGAGCGUCAUUUGUACCUUCAAGCUUUGCUUGGUGUUGGGUGUUUGUCCAUUCUCUUGCAGAGGGACCCGCCUUAAAGUAAUUGGCAGCCAGUGUUUUGGUUUUGAAGCGCAGCACAAGUCGCGAUUCAACGCUAUACGCCAGCUUCCACAAGCCUUUUUCACUUUUGACCUCGGAUCAGGUAGGGAUACCCGCUGAACUUAAGCAUAUCAAUAAGCGGAGGA
rnacentral:misc_RNA from 1 species